rnacentral:rRNA from 1 species
GCUCAAUGAAAAUUCAAUAGCCGCAAUAUUCUUGUGCUAAGGUAGCAUAAUCAUUUGUCUUAUAAUUAAAGACUAGAAUAAAAGAUUCAAUAUUUUUAUUUCUUUCUUAUAUAUAAUAUAUAAAUUUAUUUUAAAUAUAAAAAAAUAUUUAUUAUUAAAAAAGACGAUAAGACCCUAUUGAACUUAACUUUAGUUAAACUGGGGUAGUUAAUUAAACAAUAUUUUAAUUUAAAAUUUAAAAACUUCUAAUAAAAUUAAAUAUAUCAAGUUACCAUAGGGAUAACAGCGCAAUAAUUUUUACAAGAUCUUAUUUAAAAAAUUGUUUACGACCUCGAUGUUGAAUUAAUAAUCUAUUAAAUGCAAUAAUUUAAUAAGAAAGUCUGUUCGACUUUUAAUCAAUUACGUGAUCUGAGUUCAGACCGGA